UCCUGCAGUCUCUCUGCCUUGGGUUGUAAUUUCGUCACAUUUUUCAAGCCUGGCAGAGUCAAGCUUUGUCAGUACUCGGAUGGGAGACCUCCAAGGAAAGCCCAUUGUGCUACAGGAA
rnacentral:rRNA from 1 species